AGAGUUUGAUCCUGGCUCAGAACGAACGCUGGCGGCGUGGAUUAGGCAUGCAAGUCGAACGUGAAACCGUCGAGUUGAUUCUUCGGAUGAAGCAUGGCGGUGGAAAGUGGCGUAAGGGUGAGUAUCACGUGGGCAACGUACCUUCAUGUUGGGGAUAACCCUCCGAAAGGAGGGCUAAUACCGAAUGUGGUCUCUUCUCGUAUUGAGUUGAGGUUAAAGGUGGGGAUCUUCGGACCUGCCGCAUGGAGAUCGGCCCGCGCCCUAUUAGCUUGUUGGUGAGGUAACUGCUCACCAAGGCUGCGAUGGGUAGCCGACCUGAGAGGGUGACCGGCCACACUGGGACUGAGACACUGCCCAGACUCCUACGGGAGGCUGCAGUCGAGAAUCGUUCGCAAUGGGCGAAAGCCUGACGACGCGACGCCGCGUGUGCGAAGAAGGCCUUCGGGUUGUAAAGCACUUUGAGCAGGGAAGAACGCAUGUCUGUGAAUAGCAGAUUAUGCUUGACGGUACCUGCAGAACAAGCCCCGGCUAAAUUCGUGCCAGCAGCCGCGGUAAUACGAAUGGGGCAAGCGUUGUUCGGAUUCAUUGGGCGUAAAGGGGGUCUAGGUGGUCUGCUAAGUUUCCUGUGAAAACCCGGAGCUCAACUCCGUGGAUUGCAGGGGAUACUGGCGAACUUGAGUAUGUGAGGCGCGUGCGGAAUACUGGGUGUAGCGGUGAAAUGCGUAGAUAUCCAGUAGAACACCAGAGGCGAAAGCGGCCCGCGUGCACAUUACUGACGCUGAAGCCCGAAAGCGUGGGGAGCGAACAGGAUUAGAUACCCUGGUAGUCCACGCUGUAAACGAUGUGUACUAGAUGUAGGAGGUAUCGACCCUUUCUGUGUCGAAGCAAACGCGUUAAGUACACCGCCUGGGGAGUACUAUCGCAAGGUAGAAACUCAAAGGAAUUGACGGGGACCCGCACAAGCGGUGGAGCAUGUUCAUUAAUACGAAGCAACGCGUAGAACCUUACCAGGGCUUGACUUGCAGCUGCACGCGAUCCGAAAGGGUCGUUUCCUUCGAGGGUGCUGCACAGGUGUUACAUGGCUGUCGUCAGCUCGUGCCGUGAGGUGUUGGGUUAAGUCCCGCAACGAGCGCAACCCUUGUCGUUAGUUGCCAGCGGUUAGGCCGGGCACUCUAGCGAGACUGCCGGUGACAAACCGGAGGAAGGUGGGGACGACGUCAAGUCAGUACGGCCCUUACGCCCUGGGCUUGAAACGUGCUACAAUGGUCGGUACAAUGGGUCGCCAACCCGCGAGGGGGAGCUAAUCUCAAAAAGCCGGCCUCAGUUCGGAUUGAAGUCUGCAAUUCGACUUCAUGAAGUUGGAAUCGCUAGUAACGGCGUAUCAGCUACGACGCCGUGAAUACGUUCCCGGGUCUUGUACACACCGCCCGUCACAUCACGAAAGUUGGUUACACCCGAAGUCGAUGAUCUAAUCUGCAAAGAAGGAAAUUGCCGAAGGUGUGACUGGUG
rnacentral:rRNA from 1 species